rnacentral:rRNA from 1 species
CGCAUCUGUGCAUGCAGCAUAUCAAUAAGCGGAGGAAAAGAAACUAACAAGGAUUCCCCUAGUAACGGCGAGUGAAGCGGGAAGAGCUCAAAUUUGAAAUCUUAAAGGGUUUCCCUUUACGAAUUGUAGUUUAAAGAAGUGUUUUCUGUUGAGGUUUUGGUAAAAGUUCUUUGGAAUAGGACAUCAUAGAGGGUGAGAAUCCCGUAUUUGACCUUUACUUUCAACUUUGUGAUACACUUUCAAAGAGUCGGAUUGUUUGGGAAUAGCAGUCCAAAAUGGGUGGUAAAUUUCAUCUAAAGCUAAAUAUUGGCGAGAGACCGAUAGCGAACAAGUACCGUGAGGGAAAGAUGAAAAGAACUUUGAAAAGAGAGUUAAACAGUACGUGAAAUUGUCAAAAGGGAAGCGUUUGACACCAGUGUUGUUUUUCUGAAAAUCAAUUAAAGAACUGUUUAUGCUAAGCUGUUUAGACUUUAUCAGCUAACUGUUUAGUUUUGAGCUUUUCUUUAAUGCACUUUUCAGUUAACAAGUCAACAUCAAUUUCUUUUGCUGUAAAAAAGCUUGAGGAAGGUGGCUUGAGAUUCGUCUUAAGUGUUUAUAGCCUCUUGCCUAUGCAGUCGGAGAGAUUGAGGUCUGCAGCGUAGAUCCUUCGGGGCUAAAUGCAUUUGUGCUAAGUUAUAACAUUUUAUAGACAACUUGUUGACUAUGAUUUGUCUUGUAGCUUACUCGCUUAUGUUAUUUUACCUACGCUUAGGAUGUUGACAGCAGUAUAGACUGU